AGAAGAAGUAGGCAUCAAGAUGGUAUGCUUCAGGCUUUUGACUGGAUAUAUUGUUGAAGAUGUAGAAUCAAUUGGACCUAGGAUGGGAUCAAUUGAUGAAAGAUCAUAUUAAGGUGUAUGUGGCUAUUUUGGAGAAGUAGAGUGGUGAUGUGUACCCUAUUGCCAGUCAGUGGUAUGAGAGUUCCUUGAAGCUCGUAGCCAUGUAAUUCAUUCCAUUGUAAUUUUGACUUUUUCUUCUUGUUAUUUAUUAAUUCUUUGGGAUGCAGGAUUAGCUUAUCAGGAGAACAGUUAUGAACUGAUAAUUUAACCUCUCAAGAGCAAAGUAUUGCUAAAGCGAACCUAGGCCCUUUUACAAUUUGGUAGUUUGAGGGUUGAUUAAAUUUAGGGACAAAAGCCAUAAAUCAUCACUGUUUGCCUAUUGAAGAAGCUAAUGCAUUUAUUUCACUAUUAGCUUAUUUCUCAUG